AUGCCUUUUACCCGUAUGCAUGGCAUUGCGAGGAUGCUAGUCAGUGUUAUUGAUUCGGAGUAUGUUCCGGAUUCUGUUCCGUGGGUGUAUGAUGGAGUGGUGCAUGAUAUCCAGGUUGUGGUUGAGGAGGGCCAUGCGACAGAUAAUGGCUCUACAAGUAAAGAUGUGGACAUGACCGACGGUGGUGAUGAUAACGGUAACAAAGAGGCGGAGGGAAAGUCUGGUGGUUUUGGUGGACAGAAUCUACCGGUGGCAAAGCCCGCUCAGUCGGCGCAGCCGAGGAUUGAUAAGGGGUUGGCCCCUUCUUCCACUCCCACAACUUCUCUGUGUUUUGGAUCAUUUCAGGCGAUGUCAGCACCAAGUCGCUUAUCGUGA
rnacentral:rRNA from 1 species